AACGCACCUUGCGCUCCUUGGUAUUCCGAGGAGCAUGCCUGUUUGAGUGUCAUGAAAUCUUCAACCUACAAGCUUUUUGUGGUUUGUAGGCUUGGACUUGGAGGCUUGUCGGCCUUUAUUGGUCGGCUCCUCUUAAAUGCAUUAGCUUGGUUCCUUGCGGAUCGGCUGUCGGUGUGAUAAAUAAUAUUAGUCUACUCCGCGACCGUGAAGCGUAUGGCAAGCUUCCAACCGUCUCGCUAUAGAGACAGCUUUUUAUGACCUCUGACCUCAAAUCAGGUAGGACUACCCGCUGAACUUAA
rnacentral:misc_RNA from 1 species